rnacentral:rRNA from 1 species
CGACGCCUACGGGAGGCAGCAGUAGGGAAUCUUCCACAAUGGACGAAAGUCUGAUGGAGCAACGCCGCGUGAGUGAAGAAGGGUUUCGGCUCGUAAAGCUCUGUUGGUAGUGAAGAAAGAUAGAGGUAGUAACUGGCCUUUAUUUGACGGUAAUUACUUAGAAAGUAACGGCUAACUACGUGCCAGCAGCCGCGGUAAUACGUAGGUGGCAAGCGGUGUCCGGAUUUAUUGGGCGUAAAGCGAGUGCAGGCGGUUCAAUAAGUAUGAU